UUAGGAAUCUUCCACAAUGGGCGAAAGCCUGAUGGAGCGACGCCGCGUGAGGGUAGAAGGUUUCUAGGAUCGUAAACCUCUGAAUCAACGACGAAAGACCCGACGAGGGGGAUGACGGUAGUUGAGUAAUAGCACCGGCUAACUCCGUGCCAG
rnacentral:rRNA from 1 species